AACUCAUGGUGAGGAAAUCUUUUAAGUAAAUCUUUAUACCUCUCCCAAGCCUCAUAUAGUGAUUCCAAAUCAAAUUGCAUAAAUGAGGUGAUAUCAUUCCUCAUCUU
rfam:Theobroma cacao cultivar Matina 1-6 chromosome 5, whole genome shotgun sequence.